rnacentral:rRNA from 1 species
AGCCUCCUACGGGAGGCAGCAGUGGGGAAUAUUGCACAAUGGGCGCAAGCCUGAUGCAGCGACGCCGCGUGCGGGAUGGAGGCCUUCGGGUUGUAAACCGCUUUUGUUCAAGGGCAAGGCACGGUCUUUGGCCGUGUUGAGUGGAUUGUUCGAAUAAGCACCGGCUAACUACGUGACAGCAGCCGCGGUAAUACGUAGGGUGCAAGAGUUAUCCGGAUUUAUUGGGCGUAAAGGGCUCGUAGGCGGUUCGUCGCG